rnacentral:misc_RNA from 1 species
UUGUCAGGCUUCUUGAGGGUUUUCUCUUGUUUGUUGCUUGCAUCAUUCUGCUCUUUCUCUGUCUUGGAAGUCUUUGAUUUUGCAGAUUCUUCAUUGAUAGAGGGUGUUUUGGGGUUCACAUUAGUCUCUGGUGAUGUUUCUGGAUCUGCAGGCUCCUCUGUAUCCUGCAGUGGAGCAUCAUCUUCUUCAGAAAUAUCAGGGACUUUUCCUGCUGUAAAAUCCUUCUCUGCUUUCUCUUCAUCUUCUCCU